rnacentral:rRNA from 1 species
UGAACGCUGGCGGCGCGCCUAACACAUGCAAGUCGAACGAGUAAGACGCCUUCGGGCGUGGAUAGAGUGGCGAACGGGUGAGUAACACGUGACCAACCUGCCCCUCCUCCGGGACAACCUCGGGAAACCGAGGCUAAUACCGGAUACUCCGGGCCCCCGCAUGGGGAGCCCGGGAAAGCCCUGGCGGGAGGGGAUGGGGUCGCGGCCCAUCAGGUAGACGGCGGGGUAACGGCCCACCGUGCCUACUACGGGUAGCCGGGCUGAGAGGCCGAUCGGCCACAUUGGGACUGAGACACGGCCCAAACUCC